AAAAAUCGAGCAUGUAACCGAUUAUACCAUUUGGCUAACCGGUUACACCUUACGUGAAAAUAGAUUUCCUUCUGUGAUAACCGAUUAACGUCAUAGGUUAACCGGUUACAACAACGAAAUAAACUAUUUUUUACUACUUGAAAGUGUUUAUGAUGUUACUAUAACCGAUCACCACCCCGUAUUAACUGGUUACAACACUUAA
rnacentral:lncRNA from 1 species